AGCUCCAAUAGCGUAUGCUAAAGUUGUUGCGGUUAAAAAGCUCGUAGUUGGAAUUUAGCCCAAGUCAACCGCGUCGCACCAAAUGGUGUAAUGCAGGGUGUACUAGGCUCUCUUCAAUUCCUAUAUGCAUUCUUCAGUGAAUGGUAUGGGUUUCGAAGCAUUUACUUUGAAGAAAUUAGAGUGUUUCAAGCAGGUUAUACGCCGUGAAUAUGUUAGCAUGGAAUAACAAAAGAAGACAUUGGUCUUAUUUUGUUGGUUUAUAUCACCAAUGUAAUAAUUAAUAGGAACAAUCAGGGGCAUUCGUAUUCGCUUGUUAGAGGUGGAAUUCUUGGAUCUUGCGAGGACGCUCGACUGCGAAAGCAUCUGUCAGGAAUGUUUUCAUUA
rnacentral:rRNA from 1 species